AUAUCGAUUAUUUAGAAAUUUUCCGCAGCUGCUAAAUUAUAGGUAAAAUUAAAAAAAAAAAAAAAUUGUGCUAUCAAUUGUAAGAAAUGGACUGAAUCAAGGCUGUUAUUCUUGUAUGGUACAGUAAUUUAUGCCCAAAUUCUGCAGCCCACUCACUUUGAAAACACAAUCAAGCGCCAAUUGCUCGAAGUUCGGAGGAGAAGGAACCUGAAUUCUGCAAGUUGGUAGCUUGAUUAGCGGGCUCGCUUCUUGUAAUGGAGCACAGAGAAAAUUCGAUUUGUGAUGGAAGUAAAUUGGUAUAUGUGAACAAUUCUUGUCGUCAUGAGGUUAUAAGCAUCAUAUAUAGAAGGGAUUUACAAGAUGAAGGCUAAUUCUUCUGUAACCUUUCAUCUAGUUUCGUUAAUGCAAGUUCAGUUAUUUUUUUUAUAUUAAAAUACAUUUGAGCAUAAACGUAUUGUGCUGUGAUGUAAUUGUUUACUUCUGGUUUUCAAUUUUUAAUAGAUAGCUUGCAUUAAGUGGUC